rnacentral:rRNA from 1 species
UACGAAGGGGGCUAGCGUUGUUCGGAUUUACUGGGCGUAAAGCGCACGUAGGCGGCUUUGUAAGUUAGAGGUGAAAGCCCCGGGCUCAACCCGGGAAUAGCUCUUGAUACUGUUGGACUUGAGUCCGGGAGAGGAUAGUGGAAUUCCCAGUGUAGAGGUGAAAUUCGUAGAUAUUGGGAAGAACACCGGUGGCGAAGGCGGCGAGCUG